GCCAGGGGUAGUGCUGUGCACCUGUAGUCGCAGCUACAUGGGAGGCUGAGGUGGGAGGAUUGCUUAAACCCUUUUGAGUUUGAGGCCAGCUUGGGCAACAUAGUGAGAUGCCAUCUCCA
rnacentral:sRNA from 1 species